AUCAGGCACGUGAGAGUAUCACAAAUUGAUUAUGGCUACUGCCGUGACCAGAUAUGAAAUAAUGAUUUACACCUCUUUUAUGGCUGGCUGAUAUCUCUUAGUGUUGCAAAUGUACACUCUUUAAUCAGUGGAUUUCCAUUCAUAUUUUCAGUGGCCAUCUGCCCAAAAAGGCCCUGAAUAAGUGGUACUUUUUGAACGAAAAAUGUUAAGGAGGUACCAAACCUUCAAAAUAAUCUGGAUGUGCUCCCUGUUUUAACCAAUCCAGCAAAAUCAUAACUUGUUACCUGCUAGAUGUGGUGUUUUCUUUCCUUUGUUUUCUUCUCCCUAUAGGAGCUCCAUGUUGUGUUCCCACAGCCUUAGAAGGGGUUAGAAGCACGCAAUGGCCACGGGGAGAGGAAGCUACUUUCCAGGCUAAAUCCUCCCUGAUAUAAAUCUGUUCCACUGGCACUGCAUUUUAUCAGGGAGGAGGAGGACAUCAGGAAGUCUCCUAAUCCUUGCUGGGUUGCCAAAUGAUGGAAACGUGAAAGCUGCCAGGAAGAACAGGGAUCAAAAGUGUAAGCAUUCAGUUUUGGGGGGAAUAAAACUAACUAUCCCAUGGAAAAAAAUAAAAACGCCCUGCAGUUCAGUGUUGUAUCUGUCUCUGAAAGGUAUUUGAGUUGACAGCUUAAAAUACUUCUUAAAAUACUCUCUUAGUCAGUUUAUGGUGGUGGUUUCUGAGUUCUUUCAAGUGUCUCCUUUGAAGUUGUAUGAGGAUGCAUGAGACAAUUCACCCGAAG
rnacentral:lncRNA from 1 species